ACACCUCAACUCUCAUGGGUUUGCCAUGAUGAGCUUGGACUUUUGGGGGUUUUGCUGGCCCAUUGUCAGCUCCUCUCAAACGAAUCAGCUUGCCGGCAUUUGGUGGCAUCGCAGGUGUGAUAACUAUCUACGCUUGUGGUAUUCCACCUGGUAACCUUCAGCAAUGGAGGUGUGCUGGAGCUCAUAGACGUCUCUCUUCAGCAAGGGACAUGUUUUUGAAU
rnacentral:misc_RNA from 1 species